rnacentral:ncRNA from 1 species
UAUGAAUUUGGUUCUAGUUCUUUUUAUUAUAUAGUUUUGAGGCUUAUGCAUGUGAGUUAGUUAGCGUUCCGGUGAGGUUUUGCAAGUUUUUUAAUUUUGUUUUUAGUUUUAAUAAAAAAUAGAAGGGACUUUGUAAGAUGGCUGUUUUUUUGGAUAAGGAACAGCUGUUAAAUGGCGCCACAUCUACAGCAAUAAAUCCUUAACAAUAACUGUAGAGUUGAUUAGACCAAGUAUUGUUUUAAAGUGGCUAAGUUUCGUGCCAGCAGCCGCGGUUACACGAAUCACUUUUUUGUAAUAAAGAAAGCGGCUUAUUAGAGUAAAUUUUAUAAAAAUUUAAAAAAGGGAUUAUUUUAUAAAAGUGUAAUAACUUGAACUAAUUUCGAAAAUAUAUAAAAUUUUUAAAUGCUCUGUAAUUUAAGGGGAGGACCCGGAUUAGAUACCCGGUUAUUCUUAAGCAUAAAAAAAUUAAUGCCGGCGGAGUAUGGGGGUGUCUUUAAAAAGCAAAGAACUUGGCGGUUGUUUAUUUCUGAUUAGGGGAAUUUGCUUGAAGAAAAUGAUAAUCCUCAAUAUACCUGACCUUCUCUUGAUUUAAUCAGUUACUAUAUCAUCGUCUUUAAGUGCUUAAUUUAAGUUGAAGAUAGCUAUAAAUCCAGAAGGAUAGAAGUCAGAUCAAGAUGGUGCUAAUGAGAGGGGGAGAGUGAAUUACAUUGGCUGUCUGGCCUCAGUUUGGAUUUUUAAGUGAAAUUUUUAAUGAAGGAGGACUUAAUAGUAGUUGAGAAUAAGAAAAGCUUGGCGAAGUUAGCGCUGAACUUCGUACACAUCGCCCGUCACCUGCGGGAAUAAAACCUGGAGUAAGUCGUAACAUAGUAGGCGGACCGGAAGGUGUGGCCUGGUUAGUG